AAUAAAUAAAUAAAAUCUUUUAAAAAAAUUUUUAAGUAAAAUGUUGAUUUUUUGUCGAAUUAACCUUAAGUUUGAUCAAAAGAAUAUUUGAGAGGAUCGUAACAGAAAUGGCAGUGUUCUACCCCAUAUUUUCCUUCUUAAUGCCUCCUACUUUUAACUCUCUUCGUUUUUUCUCUGUGCUUUUAAAUAAGAAUGAAUGGAAUACUCUCAAUUUAUUUAUUUUAGUAUUGUCUUUGACUUCUCAUUAUGAUAAAUGAGGCUUUUAGCCCCCAUAUAUUUUUCCCAUUCUCCUAAACGAGUAAAAUAACAACUUUUGGUUGAAUCCAUGACUGUAAAGUAUUGUCUCUAUUGAGCUAAAUAUCAUACACUAUGGUGUCAUUUGCUUAUUAUAAAAUUUUGGCUUUUUUCUUGGAGUUUAAAAUUGUUUUCACUUGCUUUGUUUUCUUUGAAUUUAACAUUAAAUCUUUAUGUAUCCGUUGUUAUCUCUAGAAUCUAGCAGUUUUAUUUUUUUUCCAGGAAAUCUUCCUGGAUUUGAUCAUUUUUGCCAAAAGAAUGCAGAUACUUGGUAUACCAGUUGUUUAUCUGCUAGUUUGUCAGCAGGAACCUACUUGCAAAAUUUGUGUUUCUAAAACGUGCUCCUUCCUGGUUUUCUUUCUCUCCAAAAUGGCUUUAUGAUUUGGAGACCUCAGUGUUCCUACCUUCAUAUCUGAUUCUUUUGUUCUGUCAUAUUGGUUUGAAGAAAAGGUCAAUAAUAAUUGCAUAAGGUUGUUUCUGACGUUUGGUGAACCUAAGGUUCUUUUGUUUUUUUUAACUUAGCAUCUCAUUGAAGUCUUACCAGCUACCUUGUAGCCUCUAAAUCCUCUCUCUCUCAGGUACUAAAAACAGAUUUCCUAUCUGUGCCUGCAAAGCAUUAAUUUCUUUCUGAAACACAUUUUCAGCUGUCUACUCAUUUGCAGAGUGAAAGUGACAGGUCUUUAGUUUAACAGAAAUUAAAAUCUUCCUGGGUUCAGAUUAUUACCUCUGCUUGCUUUCUGCAUAGUAAUUUUUCACCCAAGGCAUUCCUCUUCUUUCUUGCCUUUCAACUUACUGAUUUUCUGUGAAUUCUGUCUUUGCCACUUUAUUAUUCCCCAAAUAAUUCAUUUAAUAAGCAAAUAUUUAUUAACUGAGAUGUGCCAGGCACUGUCCUAGGUGCUGGGGAAAUAGGGUGAGCACCAUAUUCAAGCUCCCUGGUCACACGGAGAGCAUGUUCCAGGUAGGAGGAUACGGAGAACACAAAUAGGUGCUAUGAGAAAGUGAAACAGAAUGAUACGAUGAAGUGUGGUUGUUGCUAACAUGGACAAGGCAGUUGGGGAAAGCCUCUUUUGAGGAGGCAGCAUCUAAGCUGCGAGUGGAAUGAACAGAACCCAGCCAUUUGGGAGUAAGAGGGAACAGAGUCCAGGUGAAGUGGAUGGUAGGUGUGAAAGCAGGAAAGGGCCUGACAUGUAGGCUUGCAUGGCGAGACUCAGGAGAGAUGGGUAGGUGAUGAGGUGGGAGUGCCACCAGAACCCUGUGAUGAAGGACCUUGUGGACCACGAUGAGGACUUGGGAAUUCAUUCUGUGCACAGUGGGAAGCUAUCGGAGGGUCUUACUAUACAGGGGAGUGUUGUGGUCUGAUUGAUAUUUCAUGUGAUCGCUCUGAGUGUUGUAGAGAGCGGGGUGGGGGCAGGUGCACUCACCAAAAUAAAACACAUGGUUAAAAAGAUGUAAUGCCAACCACAGGAAGAGAGAGCAAGGAUUCCUUCAUAUUUUCCCCUAGGAAUGAAGUGUGGACACCCUAGAAACUAGCUUUGGUUAUUGGGUGUUAUUCUGAGCUAUUCGCCUACUCCCUGUUGACAGCUUCUCCUGUGUGCUCCUGAGUGACGUUUUGAAAGGUCUGUACCUUCUAGCGUAGAGAAGUCUAUACCCAUGUAACACAUAGGUAAUCUGGUACUUAUUUCACUGUAGUGUUAGGAACAAAAUUAGAUAUUGAAAUUUUGACAGUACAGAAAUGGUCAUUGUCACAUGGCACUAUUUUUUUACUGCUCAUGCUUAGUUACUUAAUUUCAGAAGUUGCCUUAAUUUAUAUUUUCCAUCUAUGAAUGCUUCACUUAGCCUCCAAAGAAGCUUAAGAAUUUUCCUUAUUAGCAGUAUUUAUUAUUUCUCACUAGGGGGCUCUAUUUGGGGUAUACUGCCUUGAAGUGUGUGUCUCAUAUUAACCUGAGACUCCAGUAGAAUUAUGACUAAAAAGAAGAAAGAUAUUGUUAAUUCUUAAAUUGAUGCAGUGUCUUUUCUAUCCAAAUUGCUUCAGUGUAUUUGUAUUUGUAACUUAGUCAUUCCUUCCUUAACAUGCCCAUUUUGUGUGCUGUGAUUGGCACAAUAGAGAGAGACUGGAAAAUAAGAAAAAUAGUCAAGUCCAAGCAUAAUGUGAUAAAGAUUUAUACUUAAAUGUUGGAGGAAGUUGUGGUUAAAAAAAAAAAGAAUGGGUGUGUUGCCCAUGAGCUCACCUUGUCCUUCCGUUUUGAUGCUCGAAAACUAAGGCGUCGAGCCUGAGUGGCAGGUAGGAGUGAGACCGUUGAUGGUGGCAGUUAACAUCGCAGGAGAGGGUGAGUUCCGCUGUGGGCAUGUGGGAAACGUACCCAAGUGAAGUUCUUCACUGAACUUCUAGAUAUGUAAGAUUGAAAUUGGGGUGAGAAGUCAGGAGUAUGGUUAUAUAUCUGAGAGGUGAAAAAUAAAGGAGCCCUGGCCAGUGUGGCUCAGUCGGUUAGAGUGCCAUCCUGUACUGAAAGGUGAUGGGUUUGAUUCCUGGUGAGGGCACAUACCAGAGUUGCCAGUUCCACCCCCAGUCUGGGCGUGUACGAUUCCCCAGUCUGGGCACGUGUGGGAGGCAGCCAGUCGGGGGAUGUGUUUCCCUUCCCUUCCUUUCUUUCUAAAAGCAAUGAAAACAUAUCCUCAGGUGAGGAUAAAAGAAAAAGUAAUUUAAAAAUAAAGUAAAUGAAGGAGAUCAUGGAAGUGGAGGCUAUUGGAGAGAGAGUGGGAAAACCAGAAUGGAAAGAAAGCCCCUGGAGGAUGCUCCUCAGGUUCUGUCCCGCAGCAGCACGGACGACUCUGCAUAUAGCGUGUAAGGCGGCAUGUGUGUCGGGGAAGAGUACCCUCAUUCUUUCCACGUGUAACCAAGUACAAUGCUCAGCCCUUUAUUAAUUAAUAAUGUUUACUGGUAGAAUAAUCAACAUGUAAGCCUGACUGUAGCUAACACGUAAAAUUUUUGGCCAGCGGAGUUCAGAGUUGGUAAAAUAAGGCGACAAAAGAAAAUUGCUGACUGCAGAAACUGGAAUAGAUCAUGUCCAAUACUGAGGGAAGCUUAUUGUAAUCUUUGUUGAUCAGUGCACAUGGAGAAGAAAUAAGUCAAAAUGGGGAAAAUGUAUAUAUAAAUAAUUUAUCAAUGAAAGUUCAUCAGUGUUAGCAUAUUCUGAUUUCUGUGUUUUUAUUCAUAAACAUAACAUUAAAACCCAGGUAGGGGAGUAUCAAAACACCCUCUAACUCACCUUUACCUUAGGGAGUCUAAGUUCAGAAAAGCAGUAAAAAUGGAACCCAGCUUUCAGGGGUUAAGGAGAGACUAGGUAGUGUGGAAAAUCUGUCGUUCAGUUAAUUUUAGACCAAAAGAAAUAAAAGUAAUUCCUGUGGUUUCUAGAGGUUGAGGAAGAGCCAGGAAUUAAAAAAGGUUA